rnacentral:lncRNA from 1 species
CUGGAAUUGAGCCUGAAGAUGUUGCAAAACGCCUCAUGGACUAUGGUUUUCAUGCACCAACAAUGUCAUGGCCUGUGCCUGGCACACUCAUGAUUGAGCCUACAGAGAGUGAAAGCAAGGUUGAUACUAACCUUGGAAAAUUAGACCUUUGAACCCUUUUUUUGAGUAAUUUCUUCUCUAAUCCAACUAAUCAUCAUUGCAGGCCGAGUUGGACAGGUUCUGUGAUACUCUUAUUUCAAUUAGAGAAGAAAUUGCUGAAAUAGAGAAAGGAAAGGCUGACAUAAACAACAAUGUGCUUAAGGUAAAAAAUUUGAUCUUCAUUGAUAUGAUGUUACACAAAAAGAUGAAUGCUUGUUUCAGUUUUGAUUAUUUACAGUACACAAGACAUUUCAAGGCUACCUUUUAAAUAGUAACUAACUUUUUCAACACUCUAUUGCUGUUUAAAACUUGUUGGAAAUCACAAAAAUUUGAGAGUCACUUAUUUACUCCCUCAUGAAUUACUAGUUUCCAAUAAUAUGUUUAAUCAAUGAUAGAGGGCAUGUUAGAAGUGUUAGUAGCAUACUAAUUAUUACAUAAUCUAGUAAGACAGAGGGUGUGUUGGAAAGUGCUAGUAACAUACCCUUUAAAAUGAGAGAUUGUUACAUGAUCCAGUCAAGAGCUUAUAGACAGAUGGUGGUCCAAGAUCAUACAAUUUCUUUGCCAUUGGCUGUGCGUUUCAUUCACAAUUUCAACUUACUUCAUGCACUUUUGACUGAUUAUCUAAAAUGUUCUGCAGGGAGCUCCUCAUCCACCAUCAUUGCUCAUGGCUGAUGCAUGGACAAAACCAUACUCAAGGGAAUAUGCAGCCUUCCCAGCUCCGUGGCUCCGUGCUUCAAAGUUCUGGCCUACCACAGGUAAUCAUGCAGUUGUUUGCUUAUAUAACUAUGCUUUCUGAUUGAAAUCUCACUUCAACUAGUGAUAAGACGAAUUUAUAGUAUAUAAGUAAGUUCAAACUUCACUUUAAAGUUGGUUUUAUAGGACUAAGUUAGAUUUAGAGCCUAAUUCUUAAAAUGGUAUCAAAAUCAUUUAAAAAUAUUUAUCAAGAUAAGAUUUGUUGUUUGUUGAACAUAUCAUGUUGGAGCACCCAUAAAUAUCUAGUCGCAUGCUUGAGAUGUAUAUGUCUCGAUGUGAGAUGGAUUGAUUUUGUAGGGUUAAGUUAGAUUUAAAGUUAUUUCUUAGUAUGUUCUUAUGACAUCCUUCUCAUGAUAAACCUUACCACCAUUAUCAUCCCUUGUUUAAUAUUUUGUGCAAUGCUGAAUGUAACAAAUGUAAAUGCUUAGACUAACAAAUGUAACGUGUAUCAGGACGUGUUGAUAAUGUGUAUGGUGACCGCAACCUCAUUUGCACCCUUCUCCCAGCAUCACAGGCUGUUGAAGAAGAAGCUGCAGCCACAGCCUAGUCUGCUCCAUUGACAACUAUUUCCAUUUCAUGUUGUACAUAAAACUCUUCCUAUUCAUACAGUGCUUUCACCUCUUGAAUAUUGCUUCAUCAUAUGUGAUAAUGAUGAUAAUCAUCUCCUCUUAAGUUGAAAAGAAAAAUCAUUCACAUAAUUUCUGCUGCUAUUAGGUUUUAGAAAUGUAUUUUAGGC